GGUGGAAAGAUUUAUCGGUGCAGGAUGGGCCCGCGGCCUAUCAGCUUGUUGGUGGGGUAAUGGCCUACCAAGGCGACGACGGGUAGCCGACCUGAGAGGGUGACCGGCCACACUGGGACUGAGACACGGCCCAGACUCCUACGGGAGGCAGCAGUGGGGAAUAUUGCACAAUGGGCGAAAGCCUGAUGCAGCGACGCCGCGUGAGGGAUGACGGCCUUCGGGUUGUAAACCUCUUUCAGCAGGGACGAAGCGCAAGUGACGGUACCUGCAGAAGAAGCACCGGCUAACUACGUGCCAGCAGCCGCGGUAAUACGUAGGGUGCAAGCGUUGUCCGGAAUUACUGGGCGUAAAGAGUUCGUAGGCGGUUUGUCGCGUCGUUUGUGAAAACCAGCAGCUCAACUGCUGGCUUGCAGGCGAUACGGGCAGACUUGAGUACUGCAGGGGAGACUGGAAUUCCUGGUGUAGCGGUG
rnacentral:rRNA from 1 species